rnacentral:lncRNA from 1 species
AUGUCUGAAAAGCAUAGAAACCUUCCUCCCUGGAUGGUGAAGUCUGACGUUCAAAGAAACAAAGACAAUGAAGCGGUGAAGAAGAAAACGCGUGGUGAAACCACAAAAAGGAUAGCGAAGAAGCAGCUCAAAAGUGUCACGUACUUGAUGAACGAGCAGGAGCUCGUGGAAACGGCACUCCGCCUUUUGAAGGAUGAUGAGGCAUGUGCUAAAGAUGGAAUGCAAGCCCCAGAGGAGCUAAGGAUCAUUCCGGAGACAGAUGAAGACACUUCAGACUCGGACGUGCAGGACAGAACACAUGUUUCAAACAUUGCAGUCAUUCCGGAGACAGAUGAAGACACUUCAGACUCGGACGUGCAGGACAGAACACAUGUUCAAACAUGCAGAGCAGGAGACUGUGCCAUAUGGAAACUGCAUGGAAGAAAGUAGCAGCACAAAACCAGCCUGCCAUCUGAAGCCUCCUUCUGAUGUUUCAGGAGCUUCCGAGAAGCAUGAUGCGGAUGAUGAGGCUCUAGAACUUGUGCGAGAGAUUUUUUUUUCCAAAUAAUUUAAACCUGAAGUCACAAAGUUUAGUGCUAGCAAACAUCAUUUUACCAAAUAUUUAAAGAGAUACUUCAUAAUUUAGUCAUCCUCAUGUCACUGCAAUCCUGCCUGUUUUUCUUCUGUGGAGCACAAAAGGUGAUAUUUUGAAGAAUGUCUUGGUCACUCUUUUCCAUUCAGUUACAGCCAAUGCCAGUUUUCAACCUUCAAAAAGGACAACAAAAAUAAUAAUAAUGAUGGCCAAAUAGCUCGGGUUUGGGAUAACAUGAGGGUGAGUAAAUUGUUUUUUGAUGCAUUCUUUCUUUUUACUUUUGUUUCUUUUUAAUAUUGCAAGCUCUGCUUUUCUUCAGGGAAAGAAAAUCUAGUUAUGAUUUGUAUGGGUUUAUUAUUCUGUUGGUUGAUGCCUGAACAAAGGAGAUUUCGGAUUUGUUUUGUAAACCAGCUGAUUCAUUUGCACACUUGCACUUUCUAGAGUCCUUUGAGUAAGACAGCAACAACUAAGAACAAAUGAGAAUGUUCAAUGACAUGUAAGAAUAGAUUGUAUAUUUAUUCAUUUUAAUAAAAAUAUAUAUAUAUAUAUAUUUUUUUUAAAUCAAGAUUUUUAGUGAUUGGUACUUCAACCGGCGUCUAAUGUAAGAGUUAACAGUGUCUGAGGACAAGCUGUCAAAUAUGGAAUCAAGAUUUUA